AUACGUAGGUGGCGAGCGUUGUCCGGAAUUACUGGGUGUAAAGGGCGUGUAGGCGGGGCGGCAAGUCAGAUGUGAAAUACCUCGGCUUAACUGAGGGGGUGCAACUGAAACUGCUGCUCUUGAGUGUCGGAGAGGAAAGUGGAAUUCCCAGUGUAGCGGUGAAAUGCGUAGAGAUUGGGAGGAACACCAGUGGCGAAGGCGGCUUUCUGGACGAUAACUGACGCUGAGGCGCGAAAGCGUGGGUAGCAAACAGGAUUAGAUACCCUGGUAGUCCACGCCGUAAACGAUGGAUACUAGGUGUAGGAGGUAUCGACCCCUUCUGUGCCGGAGUUAACACAAUAAGUAUCCCACCUGGGGAGUACGGCCGCAAGGUUGAA
rnacentral:rRNA from 1 species